AGUAGCUAGCCUUCCAUCCAGGUGGAGACAGAUUUGGUCCAGAACAGUAGCUAGCCUUCCAUCCAGGUGGAGACAGAUUUGACCCAGAACAGUAGCUAGCCUUCCAUCCAGGUGGAGACAGAUUUGGUCCAGAACAGUAGCUAGCCUUCCAUCCAGGUGGAGACAGAUUUGGUCCAGAACAGCCUUCCAUCCAGGUGGAGACAGAUUUGACCCAGAACAGUAGCUAGCCUUCCAUCCAGGUGGAGACAGAUUUGACCCAGAACAGCCUUCCAUCCAGGUGGAGACAGAUUUGACCCAGAACAGUAGCUAGCCUUCCAUCCAGGUGGAGACAGAUUUGGUCCAGAACAGCCUUCCAUCCAGGUGGAGACAGAUUUGGUCCAGAACA